rnacentral:lncRNA from 1 species
GAAUAUGGAGUUGUAUUGUUAAGAAUAUGGAGUAGUAUUGUUAAGACUGUGGAGGUAAAUUGUAAAGAAUAUGGAAUUGUAUUGUAAAGAAUAUGGAGUUGUAUUGUUAAGAAUAUGGAGUUGUGUUGUAAAGAAUAUGGAGUUGUAUUGUAAAGAAUAUGGAAUUGUAUUGUAAAGAAUAUGGAAUUGUAUUGUAAAGAAUAUGGAGUUGUAUUGUAAAGAAUAUGGAGUUGUAUUGUAAAGAAUAUGGAAUUGUAUUGUAAAGAAUAUGGAAUUGUAUUGUAAAUAAUAUGGAAUUGUAUUGUAAAGAAUAUGGAAUUGUAUUGUAAAGAAUAUGGAAUUGUAUUGUAAAUAAUAUGGAGUUGUAUUGUAAAUAAUAUGGAGUUGUAUUGUAAAUAAUAUGGAGUUGUAUUGUAAAGAAUAUGGAAUUGUAAUGUUAAGACUGUGGAGGUAAAUUGUAAAGAAUAUGUGACAGAACGAAAACUUUUAAGUUAUAAAAGAAGUUUAAAAUACCAAAGAACAUUGCUGUUAUAAGCAUGUAGUUAUAUUUUAUAUUGUGAGUCUAGUUAUCUGAUUGAAAAAUUGAAAUCUUCCUAGCAUUCAAAUUGUAGGAGGAGUUAUCUGGAAACGCUCAUCUUAUACAAGUAAAUACUAAAAUAAAUGACAAAGUUCAACUAUCUCCCAAAAGAGCAAACAAAAAUUUGAAUAUUAAUAAAAAUCAUCCUUAACCACAUGCACACCUUCAAUAUGUUCAUACUAAGUGAAAACUUCAUAUGCUACAAUUAAAUAUGUUGAUUAUAUAUUUUUUAUUAUUCAUGAGAAUGGCACUUGUAUGUAUUUAAUAUGAUUAGAUUUAAUAAAAUUAUAGAAGUACUUAUUUUCCAUUGUUUGAUAUGUUUAAUUGAAUUAAUUCCUAAUGGAAUAUGGAUCAUCGGCAAUCACAAUUAUACCUACAUUUCUACUAAUUACAUGUAAUAAAAAUGGCAUUAAACGC